GGAUGGAAUGGAGAGGAAAUCCUUGAAUCCAGCCACUGCCGCGUGAUGUGAAGAAGGUUUUCGGAUUGUAAAGCUCUUUUGGCGAGGAAGAACGCUUGCGGGAUUAAAUGCUUGCAGAUUGACGGCACUCACACAAAAAGCCCCGGCUAACUCCGUGCCAGCAGCCGCGGUAAUACGUAGGGUGCAAGCGUUAAUCCGGAAUUAUUGGGCGUAAAGCGCUCGUAGGUGGCUUCUUCAGCCUGAUGUGAAAGCCCCCGGCUCAACCUGGGAACGUCAUCUGGAACUGCUUGGCUUGAGUGCACGAGAGGAAGGUAGAAUUCCCCGUGUAGCGGUGAAAUGCGUAGAGAUCGGGAGGAAUACCAAUGGCGAAGGCGGCCUUCUGGACUGACACUGACACUGAGGUGCCAAAGCGUGGGUAGCACACAGGAUUAGAUACCCGGGAUAAUACAAAA
rnacentral:rRNA from 1 species